rnacentral:rRNA from 1 species
GACGAACGCUGGCGGCGUGCUUAACACAUGCAAGUCGAACGAAGUGGCGAACGGGUGAGUAACGCGUAAUCAACCUGCCCUUCAGAGGGGGACAACAGUUGGAAACGACUUCUAAUACCGCAUACUGAAGGUGGGGAUUGCGUCGGAUUAGCGAGUUGGAGGGGUAACGGCCCACCAAGGCGAUGAUGAGUAGCCGGUAUGGGAGGAUGAACGGCCACAUUGGGACUGAGACACGGCCCAGACUCCUACGGGAGGCAGCAGUGGGGAAUCUUCCGCAAGGGACGAAAGUCUGACGGAGCAACGCCGCGUGUGUGAAGAAGGCCUUCGGGUUGUAAAGCACUGUUAAUCGGGACGCGGUACCGGAAUAGAAAGCCACGGCUAACUACGUGCCAGCAGCCGCGGUAAUAC